UCCAAAAUAUGCCUCAGUGGAAUAUUACUUUGAAUUAAAGUUACUGAAGAAAUGACUGAUGCAAGAGAGACACACUGACCUUCCUCUCUGUCUCCAUGAAAGCAGGAAAUUAAUAUCUCAUGUGAAUGGUGCCCUCCCUGUACCAGGAGGUAGAAAGACAUCAUUAGCACCAGAGAUAGGGAAUGCAGGGUCAAGAAGGCUGUAUAAACCUUGUUACUUCUUUAACUCAAGAAGGUUGGCAGGGACAUUUCUUCCUCCUCAACAGCUGACAAGACAACCAGGAGGCUGGCUAAACCCUGCUUCCCACCACAAGACGGCUGCAGCUGAGAGAUCCUAGGACACAUGACAAAGGCCAGCAGAAGCAAUGCCUCUUAUUCAAUACCUGAUUGCUUGUACAGUCAGCUUAACUUCUACUUGGAAAUACUGCUUUGGAAGAGAAAAUUAAGAAAAAAGCAUCAUUAAAAAAGAGACAAGGUUGGGCUUCCCUGGUGGCGCAGUGGUUGAGAGUCUGCCUGCCGAUGCAGGGGACACGGGUUCGUGCCCCGGUCCGGGAAGAUCCCACAUGCUGUGGAGCGGCUGGACCCGUGAGCCAUGACCGCUGAGCCGGCGUGUCCGGAGCCUGUGCUCUGCAACGGGAGAGGCCACAACAGUGAGAGGCCUGCAUACCAAAAAAAAAAAAAAAAAAGACAAGGCUACUCGCAGAUCUAACAUGCUAAGCUUUAACUUAGUACGUUCUUAGGACUGAUGUUUUCCAAGGAACAAACUUUCUUGUUUUCUGUGCAAUAAUAAAGGUUUGUUAUAAAAGUUAAGUACAAAAAGUGAGAAAAAAUAAAAAUAGUGGUAUCUUCACAGUUGAGUUCUUAACAUAUUUUCUGAUAUAUGUAAAAAGAGAAAAAUUGGCAAAAUGAGU